rnacentral:rRNA from 1 species
GAUGAACGCUGGCGGCGUGCCUAAUACAUGCAAGUCGAGCGAACAGAUAAGGAGCUUGCUCCUUUGACGUUAGCGGCGGACGGGUGAGUAACACGUGGGUAACCUACCUAUAAGACUGGAAUAACUCCGGGAAACCGGGGCUAAUGCCGGAUAACAUUUAGAACCGCAUGGUUCUAAAGUGAAAGAUGGUUUUACUAUCACUUAUAGAUGGACCCGCGCCGUAUUAGCUAGUUGGUAAGGUAACGGCUUACCAAGGCAACGAUACGUAGCCGACCUGAGAGGGUGAUCGGCCACACUGGAACUGAGACACGGUCCAGACUCCUACGAGAGGCAGCAGUAGGGAAUCUUCCGCAAUGGGCGAAAGCCUGACGGAGCAACGCCGCGUGAGUGAUGAAGGUCUUCGGAUCGUAAAACUCUGUUAUUAGGGAAGAACAAAUGUGUAAGUAACUGUGCACGUCUUGACGGUACCUAAUCAGAAAGCCACGGCUAACUACGUG